CAAAGGCUUCUGUUUGCCCAGGAAGCAGGGACCUGGUCAUCAUCUGGAGGGUAAGUGGGGAAAACUCAGCAGAGACCCAGGGAGAUGGCCCUGUGCUGGUUUUCUCUGAUUCAGGUAAAACCAGUCGGGCUGGCUGGGUGGUUUCCUCCUGCUGGUCCAGCUGGCUGGGAGAAUACAGAUGGCUGGACCUUGGCCAGGUGAGUAUUUUGGAGGCUGAGAGUCAUGAGGAGGCUGAGAAUGCUUGAAGAAAGUGAUUCAAAAGAUGACUCAGGGAAGUGAGGCUGAGCAUUGCCCAGGGGGUGAGGACAACCGGAAAUGGCAAAUGAGAGGAGGAGCCAAAGGUCAGGGUGGACCCUUCCCUCCUGGAGAACAUCUUUUGCCUUGGCUUUGUUGGGGCUUCCCUUUUAUUGGUUUUCCUUCCGCUUCCCUGUUUCUUCCUCUUCAGUAUUAUCACUGGUGGAUUCCCCAGUGCCUGCACUUCUCAUAGUACAGAUCUGCGCCUCCUCACCUAUUUUCUACCUUGUUUUCCUAACAGGAUCAUCAGUUUGAGGAUCAUGGCUAACUGUCUUCCUUAAGGGAAAUUUCCUGUUCCUAGAAUGGUGUGUAUGCAAGCACGUGUGUAGGGGCAGCGUGCAGAGAGGACCACAGGGGUGGUUUGGCCACUGCUGUCCCUGGAGAGCAGGAUGGAGAUUCCACUUCUGACAGCCUCCUGAUCUGCUGGGAUUAUAGGCGUGUGCCCCUGUGCCUGGCCAGAGAGAAGUCGUCGUGCUACGUGGAGUUCUCUUCCAGCCGAGCCGGACCCACCACACACGGAGGGGAGCUGGCACUGAGCAAGGUGGCUCCAGCUUAGCUGGGCUGUGACACUGAAGCCAAGGCCGACCUGCAGGACCCUCGUGUAAGUGCCAGUCACACGGCUCCCUCCUCUGUGGUGAGCCCUGGCGGAAUCCAACCACCUUCAUGCACCGCCCUCGUCAGGGCCCCGAGGGCCUUGCACAGCUCUGGAGUCAGCAGAGAUUAGUCAAUACUCGGCUGAAUCAUCUAGUCAUUAAAUGGCUGAACAUCGAACUGCAAAACCAAAUUUCUUUUUUCUUUUUCUUUUCUUUUGUCAAAAUGGGGUCUCACUUUGUUGCCCCAGCUGAUCUCAAACUCCUGAGUCCAAGUGAUCCUCCUGCCUUGGCCUCCCAGCAGCCAGGAGUGCAGCUCCUACAAUCACCCACAUCCCUCUGGACACAAACCCUGGGGAGAGGAAAGCACUGGUCUGGGAGUCAGGACAGCUGCUCCCAACUUGCUGUGUGACUUGAGGUGAGACCAUUCCCCUCUCUGAGCCUCCAUUUCCAGAUGUGCAGAUGAAGUAGCUGGGCCACCUGCCGUCCCUGCUCCUUUCCAGGUCUAACAUCCUGUUUCCACCUUCCUAAAUGGAAGUGAUCAAUUUGGCCAGAUUGGGAAGGCAAAGUGAGAUCCAGCAUCUCAGCCCUGUUUCGGGGUGCUGACAGGAAUUGUGGGUUCGA